GUAAGCUACUAAGAGCGAAUGGUGGAUGCCUUGACUGGUAAAGGCGAUGAAGGACGUACUAGACUGCGAUAAGCUACGGGGAGCUGUCAAGAAGCUUUGAUCCGUAGAUUUCCGAAUGGGGCAACCCAAUGUAUAGAGAUAUACAUUACCUAUAUAGGAGCGAACGAGGGGAAUUGAAACAUCUUAGUACCCUCAGGAAAAGAAAUCAAUAGAGAUUGCGUCAGUAGCGGCGAGCGAAAGCGCAAGAGGGCAAACCCAGUGCUUGCACUGGGGGUUGUAGGACUGCAAUGUGCAAGAGGUGAGUUUAGCAGAACAUUCUGGAAAGUAUAGCCAUAGAGGGUGAUAGUCCCGUAUGCGAAAAACAAACCUUAGCUAGCAGUAUCCUGAGUAGGGCGGGACACGAGAAAUCCUGUCUGAAGCUGGGUCGACCACGAUCCAACCCUAAAUACUAAUACCAGAUCGAUAGUGCACAAGUACCGUGAGGGAAAGGUGAAAAGAACUGAGGUGAUCAGAGUGAAAUAGAACCUGAAACCAUUUGCUUACAAUCAUUCAGAGCACUAUGUAGCAAUACAGUGUGAUGGACUGCCUUUUGCAUAAUGAGCCUGCGAGUUGUGGUGUCUGGCAAGGUUAAGCAAACGCGAAGCCGUAGCGAAAGCGAGUCUGAAUAGGGCGUUUAGUCAGAUGCUGCAGACCCGAAACGAAGUGAUCUAUCCAUGAGCAAGUUGAAGCUAGUGUAAGAACUAGUGGAGGACUGAACCCAUAGGCGUUGAAAAGCCCCGGGAUGACUUGUGGAUAGGGGUGAAAGGCCAAUCAAACUUCGUGAUAGCUGGUUCUCUCCGAAAUAUAUUUAGGUAUAGCGUUGUGUCGUAAUAUAAGGGGGUAGAGCACUGAAUGGGCUAGGGCAUACACCAAUGUACCAAACCCUAUCAAACUCCGAAUACCUUAUAUGUAAUCACAGCAGUCAGGCGGCGAGUGAUAAAAUCCGUCGUCAAGAGGGAAACAACCCAGACUACCAGCUAAGGUCCCUAAAUCUUACUUAAGUGGAAAACGAUGUGAAGUUACUUAAACAACCAGGAGGUUGGCUUAGAAGCAGCCAUCCUUUAAAGAAAGCGUAAUAGCUCACUGGUCUAGUGAUUUUGCGCGGAAAAUAUAACGGGGCUAAAGUAAGUACCGAAGCUGUAGACUUGACUUUGUCAAGUGGUAGGAGAGCGUUCUAUUUGCGUCGAAGGUAUACCGGUAAGGAGUGCUGGAGCGAAUAGAAGUGAGCAUGCAGGCAUGAGUAGCGAUAAUUAAUGUGAGAAUCAUUAACGCCGUAAACCCAAGGUUUCCUACGCGAUGCUCGUCAUCGUAGGGUUAGUCGGGUCCUAAGUCGAGUCCGAAAGGGGUAGACGAUGGCAAAUUGGUUAAUAUUCCAAUACCAACAUUAGUGUGCGAUGGAAGGACGCUUAGGGCUAAGGGGGCUAGCGGAUGGAAGUGCUAGUCUAAGGUCGUAGGUGCUUAUACAGGCAAAUCCGUAUAAGAAUACACCGAGAACUGAAAGGCUUUUUGAAGUCUUCGGAUGGAUAGAAGAACCCCUGAUGCCGUCGAGCCAAGAAAAGUUUCUAAGUUUAGCUAAUGUUGCCCGUACCGUAAACCGACACAGGUGGGUGGGAUGAGUAUUCUAAGGCGCGUGGAAGAACUCUCUUUAAGGAACUCUGCAAAAUAGCACCGUAUCUUCGGUAUAAGGUGUGGUUCGCUUCGUAUUAGGAUUUACUCCGAAAGCGAAGAAACUUACAACAAAGAGUCCCUCCCGACUGUUUACCAAAAACACAGCACUCUGCUAACUCGUAAGAGGAUGUAUAGGGUGUGACGCCUGCCCGGUGCUCGAAGGUUAAUUGAUGGGGUUAGCAUUAGCGAAGCUCUUGAUCGAAGCCCGAGUAAACGGCGGCCGUAACUAUAACGGUCCUAAGGUAGCGAAAUUCCUUGUCGGUUAAAUACCGACCUGCAUGAAUGGCGUAACGAGAUGGGAGCUGUCUCAAAGAGGGAUCCAGUGAAAUUGUAGUGGAGGUGAAAAUUCCUCCUACCCGCGGCAAGACGGAAAGACCCCGUGGACCUUUACUACAGCUUGACACUGCUAUUUGGAUAAGAAUGUGCAGGAUAGGUGGGAGGCUUUGAGUAUAUGACGCCAGUUGUAUAUGAGCCAUUGUUGAGAUACCACUCUUUCUUAUUUGGGUAGCUAACCAGCUUGAGUUAUCCUCAAGUGGGACAAUGUCUGGUGGGUAGUUUGACUGGGGCGGUCGCCUCCCAAAUAAUAACGGAGGCUUACAAAGGUUGGCUCAGAACGGUUGGAAAUCGUUCGUAGAGUAUAAAGGUAUAAGCCAGCUUAACUGCAAGACAUACAAGUCAAGCAGAGACGAAAGUCGGUCUUAGUGAUCCGGUGGUUCUGUGUGGAAGGGCCAUCGCUCAAAGGAUAAAAGGUACCCCGGGGAUAACAGGCUGAUCUCCCCCAAGAGCUCACAUCGACGGGGAGGUUUGGCACCUCGAUGUCGGCUCAUCGCAUCCUGGGGCUGGAGCAGGUCCCAAGGGUAUGGCUGUUCGCCAUUUAAAGCGGUACGCGAGCUGGGUUCAGAACGUCGUGAGACAGUUCGGUCCCUAUCUGCCGUGGGCGUAAGAAGAUUGAAGAGAUUUGACCCUAGUACGAGAGGACCGGGUUGAACAAACCACUGGUGUAGCUGUUGUUCUGCCAAGAGCAUCGCAGCGUAGCUAAGUUUGGAAAGGAUAAACGCUGAAAGCAUCUAAGCGUGAAGCCAACUCUAAGAUGAAUCUUCUCUAAGCUCUCUAGAAGACUACUAGUUUGAUAGGCUGGGUGUGUAAUGGAUGAAAGUCCUUUAGCUGACCAGUACUAAUAGAGCGUUUGGCUUAUCUUU
rnacentral:rRNA from 1 species